rnacentral:rRNA from 1 species
GAUGAACGCUGGCGGCGUGCCUAACACAUGCAAGUCGAACGGAGAUUAACGCUGAAUUGAUAAUUAGCUUGCUAAGAGGAUUUUCUUGUUAAUCUUAGUGGCGGACGGGUGAGUAACACGUGAGCAACCUGCCUUUCAGAGGGGGAUAACGGCUGGAAACGGUCGCUAAUACCGCAUGACAUAUUCGGAUGGCAUCGUCUGAAUAUCAAAGGAGCAAUCCGCUGAAAGAUGGGCUCGCGUCUGAUUAGAUAGUUGGUGAGGUAACGGCUCACCAAGUCGACGAUCAGUAGCCGGACUGAGAGGUUGAACGGCCACAUUGGGACUGAGAUACGGCCCAGACUCCUACGGGAGGCAGCAGUGGGGAAUAUUGCACAAUGGGGGAAACCCUGAUGCAGCAACGCCGCGUGAAGGAAGACGGUUUUCGGAUUGUAAACUUCUUUUCUUAGUGAAGAAGAAAGUGACGGUAGCUAAGGAAUAAGCAUCGGCUAACUACGUGCCAGCAGCCGCGGUAA